rnacentral:tRNA from 1 species
UUUAAUAUGGCAGAAUAGUGCAU